CUGCUACUGCUGGGACACGUGCCUGCAGGACGGGCUCAUAGACGUUAGGAACUGCCACUUAGACGCCCCGGUCGUCCUGUCUUUACCUCACUUCUACCUCGGGAACGAGAGCCUGUCCAGGGGCGUGGCCGGUCUCGAUCCCAACAAAAUGGAGCAUCAGAUUUUCCUGGACGUCGAACCGACCACAGGCGUGGCGUUAGCGGCGGCCAGAAGAACCCAGAUCAACGUCAUAGUCAGCCCGGUGCCACAUAUGAGAGAGACGGAAAAGAUUCGAGAAGUUGUGCUACCUAUCGUCUGGAUCAACGAG